GUCUAUGGCCAUAUCACCCUGAACAUGCCCAAUCUCAUCUGAUCUUGGAAACUAAGCAGGGUCGGCCUGGUUAGUACUUGGAUGGGAGAAAUGUAAAAAAGAACCCACAAACA
ensembl:rRNA 5S_rRNA 5S ribosomal RNA